UACGUAGGUGGCAAGCGUUGUCCGGAUUUACUGGGCGUAAAGAGCGCGCAGGCGGUCGUUCAAGUCGCGUGUGAAAGCCCCCGGCUCAACUGGGGAGGGUCACGCGAUACUGAUCGACUGGAAGGCAGGAGAGGGUAGUGGAAUUCCCGGUGUAGUGGUGAAAUGCGUAGAUAUCGGGAGGAACACCAGUGGCGAAGGCGACAUCCUGGACCGGUAUUGACGCUGAGGCGCGAAAGCCAGGGGAGCCAAAGC
rnacentral:rRNA from 1 species